UAUAAUGCAGUCGAGCGAAUGGAUUAAGAGCUUGCUCUUAUGAAGUUAGCGGCGGACGGGUGAGUAACACGUGGGUAACCUGCCCAUAAGACUGGGAUAACUCCGGGAAACCGGGGCUAAUACCGGAUAACAUUUUGCACCGCAUGGUGCGAAAUUCAAAGGCGGCUUCGGCUGUCACUUAUGGAUGGACCCGCGUCGCAUUAGCUAGUUGGUGAGGUAACGGCUCACCAAGGCAACGAUGCGUAGCCGACCUGAGAGGGUGAUCGGCCACACUGGGACUGAGACACGGCCCAGACUCCUACGGGAGGCAGCAGUAGGGAAUCUUCCGCAAUGGACGAAAGUCUGACGGAGCAACGCCGCGUGAGUGAUGAAGGCUUUCGGGUCGUAAAACUCUGUUGUUAGGGAAGAACAAGUGCUAGUUGAAUAAGCUGGCACCUUGACGGUACCUAACCAGAAAGCCACGGCUAACUACGUGCCAGCAGCCGCGGUAAUACGUAGGUGGCAAGCGUUAUCCGGAAUUAUUGGGCGUAAAGCGCGCGCAGGUGGUUUCUUAAGUCUGAUGUGAAAGCCCACGGCUCAACCGUGGAGGGUCAUUGGAAACUGGGAGACUUGAGUGCAGAAGAGGAAAGUGGAAUUCCAUGUGUAGCGGUGAAAUGCGUAGAGAUAUGGAGGAACACCAGUGGCGAAGGCGACUUUCUGGUCUGUAACUGACACUGAGGCGCGAAA
rnacentral:rRNA from 1 species